rnacentral:rRNA from 1 species
AUUGAACGCUGGCGGCAUGCUUUACACAUGCAAGUCGAACGGUAACGGGUCUUCGGAUGCUGACGAGUGGCGAACGGGUGAGUAAUGCAUCGGAACGUGCCCAGGCGUGGGGGGUAACGCAGCGAGACCUGGGCUAAUACCGCAUACGAUCUAUGGAUGAAAGCGGGGGACCGUAGGGCCUCGCGCGAUUGGAGCGGCCGAUGUCAGAUGAGGUAGUUGGUGGGGUAAAGGCACACCAAGCCAACGAUCUGUAGCUGGUCUGAGAGGACGACCAGCCACACUGGGACUGAGACACGGCCCAGACUCCUACGGGAGGCAGCGGUGGGGAAUUUUGGACAAUGGGCGCAAGCCUGAUCCAGCAAUGCCGCGUGCAGGAAGAAGGCCUUCGGGUUGUAAACUGCUUUUGUACGGAACGAAACGGUCUGGGUUAAUACCCUGGGCUAAUGACGGUACCGUAAGAAUAAGCACCGGCUAACUACGUGCCAGCCGCCGCGGUAACAC